GACCACUCCGGUGGCCUAAUGGUCAAAGCGUUCGCCUCGGAUGCGAGAGGUCGCGGGUUCGUAUCCCUGCCGAGUCA